rnacentral:rRNA from 1 species
UGGGGAAUAUUGCACAAUGGGGGAAACCCUGAUGCAGCGACGCCGCGUGAGCGAAGAAGGCUUUCGAGUCGUAAAGCUCUGUCCUAUGAGAAGAUAAUGACGGUAUCAUAGGAGGAAGCCCUGGCUAAAUACGUGCCAGCAGCCGCGGUAAUACGUAUGGGGCGAGCGUUGUCCGGAAUUAUUGGGCGUAAAGGGUACGUAGGUGGUUUUUUAAGUCAGGUGUCAAAGCGUGGAGCUUAACUCCAUUAAGCACUUGAAACUGAAAGACUUGAGUGAAGGAGAGGAAAGUGGAAUUCCUAGUGUAGCGGUGAAAUGCGUAGAUAUUAGGAGGAAUACCGGGGGCGAAGGCGACUUUCUGGACUUUUACUGACGCUCAGGUACGAAAGCGUGGGGAGCAAACAGG